CGACCGUAACUCUUACCAUACUGUUUAUGUUAUGUUUGUAUCUUUCUCAUCCUUUAGACUGAACUCCUUCCAGCACUAUAUAUUGGAAGCAGGCAUAUCUGUGUUUUCUUGGGUCACCUGUGGAGCAAACUUACGCUAAGUGUGUGGCAUGAUUAAAAAUACAGUGAGGGCUGCUGCCAUGUGCCAUCCAACAGAAAGGAGGGGGUCUUCAGUAUUGGAAGAAUGCAUCAAAUUCAAUGAAGGGGAAUGCACAUUACGCCAACAGUGGGAUACCAGCCACUGCCUCAUGAGAUGAAUGAUUAUUCCUGAUGCCGAGAGGCAGAAUUGGAUCACCAUUAGCGAGGAGGCAAUUUUGUACA